CCUCCUCCACACAAAGGAGCAGAGGCUGAGAUGCUCGACGGAUCACAGCGCCGCCUCGUGCCGAGGGGACGGAUAGCACGUCGAGAGGAAACAAAAACAGAGAGGCGCAGGAGGGACGGAUGCUAGCGAGAAUAAGACGGGACGUGUCAAUAAUCCUGGAAGAGGAGCAGAAGGCUCUUCAUGGAGGGGUCCUGGCCUGGCCUGUGGAGAUGAGCCAAUAGGCAACUAUAUACGGACCAGGGUUUAUGCUGAUGAAACUCAUCUGCUCCAAGAGGAAAAGGCUUGAAGAUGAUGCUUGUCUGACAUGGAAAAAUAGGAGAUACAAAACCAGGCUGCGGCGCUCCUCCUUUACCAUGAACUGAACCUCCUACACAUCGAUCUGCAGGAGAAACAGAGAGGGAUCUGACCAGAUCGCCAUGGUCUCACAAGGAAACAAAGGUGGCUGAAAUCCAAACUGGCACUGGAAUGGGGACAUGCCAGUAGAUGUGUACUGGAGUGUGUUGUGGGCGUACUCAGCCCACGGCAGCCGGGAACUCCAGGAUGACGGGUGGUCAGCCACUAGACUCCUCAGAGAUGCCUCCAGCUCCUGGUUGACCCUCUCCGUUUGCCCAUUGGACUGGGGAUCGAACCCGGAUGUGAGGCUGGCCGUGGCUCCAAUGAGUUUACAGAAGGCUCGCCACACCCAGGAGGAGAACUGAGGACCCCUGUCGGACACAAUGUCCUGGUGAAGCCCAUAGACUCGGAAAACAUGUUCAAACAUUAGUUUGGCAGUUUGAAGAGCAGAGGGUAACUUUGGCAAGGCAAUAAAGCGACAGGACUUAGAAAACCUGUCUACC
ensembl:lncRNA